AGUUGGUGGAGCGAUUUGUCUGGUUAAUUCCGAUAACGAACGAGACUCUAGCCUGCCAAAUAGUUAGCGGAUACCGAUUCGUCCGCUUUAACUUCUUAGAGGGACAAGUGGCGUUCAGCCACACGAGAUUGAGCAAUAACAGGU
rnacentral:rRNA from 1 species